rnacentral:rRNA from 1 species
GAUGAACGCUAGCUACAGGCUUAACACAUGCAAGUCGAGGGACCGGCGCUCGGGUGAGUAACACGUAUCCAACCUGCCCUUUACUCGGGGAUAGCCUUUCGAAAGAAAGAUUAAUACCCGAUAUAAAGGAUGGGGAUGCGUUGCAUUAGGUUGUUGGUGAGGUAACGGCUCACCAAGCCUUCGAUGGAUAGGGGUUCUGAGAGGAAGGGCCCCCACAUUGGAACUGAGACACGGUCCAAACGCCGACGGGAGGCAGCAGUGAGGAAUAUUGGUCAAUGGGCGCUAGCCUGAACCAGCCAAGGAGGGGGAAGGAUGAAGGCGUAGGGGUCGUAAACUUCUUUUAUAUAAGAAUAUGUAGUAUAUGAAUAAGGAUCGGCUAACUCCGUGACAGCAGCCGCGGUAAUUC